rnacentral:lncRNA from 1 species
AACUAGCCUAGACUCUUAGAACGAACUUUUUGGCCAACACAUCUCAGUUCUUAACGUUAAUCUAUUCUGAGAAUGUCAGUUGGCUUGGCACUGCCUUUAUUGAGCCUACUAGAAUAGACUUUGAAGUUCAAAACUACUCCAAAAUAGCCCUUACACUACUCACUUUAAUCAGGCAAAAGUGAAAAAUUUGACUAGCUAAUACCGAUCACAGCGUUGGGUCUCAUUCAGGCCCUUUUAAAGCCAUAAAAUUUCCUCAGUCGUAUCUCCAGUGGUCCAUUUAAAUCUGUCUCUGGACCCGUAUGUGACCUGAAUAGAAUUAGAGAUUUCCUGAGAAAAGCUGGUUCUUCGCCUAGAAGUUUGAUCUGCCAGGGAAAUUUCCUGGAAGCAUGGCUUGAUUUAGAACCAGUAACAACCUCAUUGCCUUUUUCCCCUUGAUCCUUAAUUGUGCUAGAAUCAAAGGUUGUCUCUGUUGGCAUGUAGA